rnacentral:rRNA from 1 species
GAGACGCUGGCGGCGUGCCGUAACACAUGCAAGUCGAACGGAACUUCUUUUAAAGGAUUUCUUCGGAAUGAAUUUGAUUAAGUUUAGUGGCGGACGGGUGAGUAACGCGUGAGUAACCUGCCUCUAAGAGGGGAAUAACAUUCUGAAAAGAAUGCUAAUACCGCAUAAUAUAUAUUUAUCGCAUGGUAGAUAUAUCAAAGAUUUAUCGCUUAGAGAUGGACUCGCGUCCGAUUAGUUAGUUGGUGAGGUAACGGCUCACCAAGACCGCGAUCGGUAGCCGGACUGAGAGGUUGAACGGCCACAUUGGGACUGAGACACGGCCCAGACUCCUACGGGAGGCAGCAGUGGGGGAUAUUGCGCAAUGGGGGAAACCCUGACGCAGCAACGCCGCGUGAAGGAUGAAGGUCUUCGGAUUGUAAACUUCCUUUUAUUAAGGACGAAGAAAGUGACGGUACUUAAUGAAUAAGCUCCGGCUAACUACGUG